GGGGGGGGGGGGGGGGGGGGGGGGGGGGGGGGGGGGGGGGGGGGGGGGGGGGGGGGGGGGGGGGGGGGGGGGGGGGGGGGGGGGGGGGGGGGGGGGGGGGGGGGGGGGGGGGGGGGGGGCGGGGCCUAUCAGACCGCUGGGUGAGCCUCUGCCGCCCCCGGCCGCAGGCCCUCCCCGCAGUGAGAAUCGCAGAAUGGUUUGGGCUGGAAGAGACGUUAAAGCUCAUCCAGUGCCACCCCUGCCACGGGCAGGGACACCUCCCACUGUCCCAGGCUGCUCCAGCCCCAGUGUCCAGCCUGGCCCUGGGCACUGCCAGGGAUCCAGGGGCAGCCACAGCUGCUCUGGGCACCCUGUGCCAGCCCUCCCCACCCUCCCAGGGACCAAUUCCUGCCCAAUAUCCCAUCCAGCCCUGCCCUCUGGCAGUGGGAGCCAUUCCCUGUGUCCUGUCCCUCCAUCCCUUGUCCCCAGUUCCUCUCCAGCUCUCCUGGAGCCCCUUUAGGCCCUGGCAGGGGCUCUGAGCUCUCCCUGGAGCCUUCUCCUCUCCAGGGGAACAUUCUCAGCCUGUGCUAAACUAGCACAGACCCACUGCCCACCUCCCCGACCAAGGGAUGUGCAAUUUGUCUUUACCACUAAGGAAAAUGAUGUAAUGCCUCUGGAUGUUGGAGCAACCCAAGUUUCACAUCAAGGAUAUGACAAGGGCGCUUUCUAGCCUGCCCUGCUGGACAUUCGGGGCCUACCAGAGCCCAGGGUUCACCACGUGAGACGUGACAUUGGCCAGCAGAGGGGAUUUGCCAGCAGACUGCUUUGAAGUGCCCAGGAACUGGAGUCAUCUCCUUCCUUGGAUGCAGGCUUCACCUGCUCUACCUGCGGCUGUCCUUGGGCAUCCCUAGCCAUGGCUAUCUCCAGGCUGAUCAUUCACAAAUCUCCAUACUCUGCUCUCCCCCUGCAGCUGUGCUCCAGAUCCCUCUGCUCCCAGCACUGCUUUGAUGGGCUGCAGUGGCUGCUUGUCACCACCCUGGUCCUCCUCACCUCCUGUUCCUUUUACAGUCCAACGGUUCUCCCCAGCUGUCCCGUCUUCAGCGGCCGUGGGAGGGGUUUCAGGACCGGAGGCUAUGGGAGCUCCCUAGCUGCUUGGUUUCGGCUUUCAGGCUCCACCAGCGGGAGAAGGAGCAGGCAGUCGCAGCUGCACUGUGAGCACCAGCCCCUGGCUUUGUCAUGGUGAUUGGAUUUUCAGUCCCUCUUUGCUGUCUUGGCAACCUGAGGUCAAAUAACAUAGAUGCUUCACUGUCUGGCAGCUUCUCCUUUGGGCUUGUGGUAGAUGCGGUAGUAAAAGAUGUAGUUUUAAUCAUCUAGAGGUAAUAUAGACAGUUGCAGAGAAGUACAUGA
rnacentral:lncRNA from 1 species